rnacentral:rRNA from 1 species
GCACCGGUCUUACCCCGCUUUUAUUCUCAGAGCUGUUUACACUCUAAAAAAGCCUCACCAAAAAGAUGAGGCACUUAGGGUUCCCCCGUCACGCUUGCGCGUAUUGCGGAGUUUUCGCGC